GACGAACGCUGGCGGCGUGCUUAACACAUGCAAGUCGAACGGAAAGGCCCUGCUUUUGCGGGGUGCUCGAGUGGCGAACGGGUGAGUAACACGUGAGUAACCUGCCCUUGACUUUGGGAUAACUUCAGGAAACUGGGGCUAAUACCGGAUAGGAGCUCCUGCUGCAUGGUGGGGGUUGGAAAGUUUCGGCGGUUGGGGAUGGACUCGCGGCUUAUCAGCUUGUUGGUGGGGUAGUGGCUUACCAAGGCUUUGACGGGUAGCCGGCCUGGGAGGGUGACCGGCCACAUUGGGACUGCGAUACGGCCCAGACUCCUACGGGAGGCAGCAGUGGGGAAUCUUGCACAAUGGGCGGAAGCCUGAUGCAGCAACGCCGCGUGCGGGAUGACGGCCUUCGGGUUGUAAACCGCUUUCGCCUGUGACGAAGCGUGAGUGACGGUAAUGGGUAAAGAAGCACCGGCUAACUACGUG
rnacentral:rRNA from 1 species